AGCAGUAGCCACGGGAAUACGUAGGUGGCAAGCGUUGUCCGGAAUUAUUGGGCGUAAAGCGAGCGCAGGCGGUUAGAUAAGUCUGAAGUUAAAGGCUGUGGCUUAACCAUAGUACGCUUUGGAAACUGUUUAACUUGAGUGCAAGAGGGGGGAGUGGAAUUCCAUGUGUAGCGGUGAAAUGCGUAGAUAUAUGGAGGAACACCGGUGGCGAAAGCGGCUCUCUGGCUUGUAACUGACGCUGAGGCUUGAAAGCGUGGGGAGCAAACAGGAUUAGAUACCCCCGUAGUCCCUGUCUCUUAUACU
rnacentral:rRNA from 1 species